AAUCAAUGUGGGGCACGUGUCCCA
rnacentral:siRNA from 1 species